rnacentral:rRNA from 1 species
GCUUAUGGCCAUACCACCCUGAGCACGCCCGAUCUCGUCUGAUCUCGGAAGCUAAGCAGGGUCGGGCCUGGUUAGUACUUGGAUGGGGGACUGCGUAGGAAUACCAGGUGCUGUAAGCU